GAUGAACGCUGGCGGCGUGCCUAAUACAUGCAAGUCGAGCGAACAGACGAGGAGCUUGCUCCUCUGACGUUAGCGGCGGACGGGUGAGUAACACGUGGAUAACCUACCUAUAAGACUGGGAUAACUUCGGGAAACCGGAGCUAAUACCGGAUAAUAUAUUGAACCGCAUGGUUCAAUAGUGAAAGACGGUUUUGCUGUCACUUAUAGAUGGAUCCGCGCCGCAUUAGCUAGUUGGUAAGGUAACGGCUUACCAGGGCAACGAUGCGUAGCCGUCCUGAGAGAAUGGUUGCACGCACUAGAAGGUGGACGAGCUCAUGAGCCCAACGCGGAGUCAAGGUAGGAAAGCUGCUGAGUAGUGUGAAAACGUGAAAAUGCAAGGCCGGGCGAGUAAGGAUGGUGUUGAGGUCGAAAUACUUUAUUAUUAGGGGAAAAAAAAGGUGUAAGGAUCUUCUCACGUUGGCACGGUACCAAAUCAGAAAGCUACGGCUAACUACGUG
rnacentral:rRNA from 1 species